CCAAGUUCAGCUGUAUGCGGUCACCCUGAGAUUCCUUCCUACUUGAUUAUUUCUCACAGACUUAACCAAGAAAAUAUCGUUCUGGAAGAUUGCUAGGCAGGCUUUUCCAUUGCAUUGCAGGACAACUCAGAUAAUGCAGGUCCAGUCCUCUGAGUCAUCCAGUGUGGGCUGGAGGUUUGGAACCUGGAAAUGUCUGAUCUAGGCAAGUAAUAAGCUGACGUCAAAAGACUUGGUGCACAGGUCUAUUGAAGCACCUAAGAGGAAAGACACUUCUUCAAACCUCAAAUGCUCUUUACAUCCAGCAAAUCUGGACUGGAAGUCGUUCAAUAAGAUGACUUCCCAUGAAAUGUCUGGUACUUCAUGUUUCCCGUCAGGUCAUAAAUGCCACGAGAACAGCUUUUCCUCCUCCAUUUAAAUUUGUCCAGUGCCAGUUUUGGUCUUGUCCCAAAGCCAAAAACUUUGGAGACAUUGACAGAAAAGAAAGUAAUUAACCAUAUUGGAAGAGCCCAGAGAGUUCUGUGUAGAUUCUGCUGUAGAUGCUGGUGCAGAGGAAUCCAAGGUGUAGGGAAUGAAAGAGCCACAAGAUGUAAGAAACCUCAGUUCCUCAAUGUAGACAUGGAAGAAAGCUUCCGGGAGCAGGCUCACUGGAUUUGGUCACAUAAUGAUCACAGAAUAAACUCUUGUGGUGAUCACUUGAAGGAACACUGCCCCAGAGGGUGAAGGUUCUCUGGGCCAGAAGCUCAUGACCAGAUGAUCCAGCAACAGGACUGAGGGUGCCUGGGGCAAGCGCCAUCUGAUGUCAUCACCCUCACAGAGACCUGGAAUCAGUGAAACUACAAAUGGUACUGCAGAUGGAACCUCGGAUGACUUCAACCAGCACCUAUUAUCAAGGACCCCUAGACUAGCCUGCCAGCCCAUACCCAGAUAUUGACACCCAAACCACCUCUCAUGAGGAAACCUCAGCUGCAGGGACCCUUCUAUGCCCCUACUCAGCAGGAAGCAGUUUCAGCGGUCAUCGUCCCACACCCAACAGCAGUUGGGCUCUCCUGUUGAGAGGGGAGACUGAGGGGUAGAGUUGGUGGGACUUCCUGGGCCGAUUGAAGGACUUUUGCAAAAGACCCCUGUGACUCAGGGUUUUGAGUUCUUAACCAUUCGAGUGAAGGAUUCAAAAUUAACCACUCUGAGGGAAGAUUGAAAAAAGAACCACUCUCAAUGGGCAAAAAGAAAGAAAGGGGAGGGGGUAACAUAGGGAUAUAAGCCCUAGCCAUCCGAGCCAGCAACAGCAACCCUUCUGGGUCCCCAUCCACCACGUGGAAGCUUUCCCUUCACUUUGUUCAAUAAACUGCACUGUUCCUCACUCUCCUGGUCCAUGGACUCUUUUUGGACUGUUAACACUCACCACGAAAGUCUGCAGCUUCAUUCUUCAAAGUUAGCAAGACCACUAAUGCAUCAGCAGGAAAAACUCCUGACUGAAUAUGACCCAACAAUUCCAUACCUAAGUAUAUAGCCAAGGGAAAUGAAUUCAUAUAUCUU
rnacentral:lncRNA from 10 species